ACUGUCAUAUGUUUAAGAACUUUAAUGUAAUGAAAUGCUCACCUAUAGUACACUAAUUUUUACAUCAAUAGUGCAGGGGUGGAAGCUCUCCACCUUUCUUCUGAAAGCUACUUCAAGAAUACAAUUGCUUUCCCACCAAACUAAGCAUCUCCAACAAAACAGCCCAUCUUGCCCUGUCACAAAUGAACUGAGGAAACUAUUUUUCGUCAGCCGGCAAUGUGGGGCUUUUGGAACACAUAUCAAUCUUGUGAAGCUCCCUCAUCCGGCUAGCAGGAUUGCAUAAACCUGAACAUUUAGGAAUGUCCCAAACUGCUAUGGAUGUUGGAGUGCAUCGAGGAUCACAAAUUGCGCGGUUAUCUUCAUGGUGAACAUUCAUAGCAAGCAUCCAUGAACCAAUAGUGACAUCCUCAUUGUUGAACAUUCUCAAACUGUUAUUUCUAGCAGCUGCUAAGGAAGCCACAACCUCUGCUGAAAGAACAUAUAUAGGACCAUAAGCAUGCAAAAAGUACUCAUUUCCAAUCAGAUGCCCAGAUUUUUCAUACCACUUCAUUUUAGGGUCAGUGAUCACUGGUCCUUUCUUCAUGCAUCCUAUGUAAGUCAUUGCAUGGGUUCUUUCCUUUGCAAGAAGAGUUGCAAGUCGAUCUGGACGCAAAUAGAUGUCAUCAUCAGCCUUAACAUAAUAAUCUGCUUCAAAAAGCUUAUAGGCUGCCUUGAAAAAUGCUAACGUUUUGUAUGGAAGCCUUAGAUAUUCUUCCUCAACAUCUAUCAGCAUGAAAUCUCUGUACUUUUCAACUUCUUUCUCAAGUCGUGCCAUCUUCUGUGCAUCUUUUGAUCGCCCUAUUACAAAUCUAAAUGCUAAACCAGUAGCUUGCUCUAACCUCAAAAGCCCAUCUGGGUCAGAAGGAAACCAAGUGCUUCUAAGGGCAGCACGCCGAUCAACGGAAUCAAACCCGGUUUGAAUUCCAACGAACCCAAGAAGCUUGGGCCGAUCAUUCAGCGCCGCGUUAUCAUCUCCAAGCUUGUUAGAACCCGAGCUCGAGUAGAAUGCGCGAAAAGUGUCUUCGGAUCUACCGCAGCGGAAAACAGGUAAGGGCCGGGGCCGGCGGAUAGCGGAGAUAGCGAAUAUUGUGCCAGCAAGGCCGAUGAGGAGGGAAACAAGUGAAAAGAUGAGGAAGUGCAAGGGAUAACGAGAGGAGGAAGGGGUAAAACCGGAUUUAUGGGGCUUGAUCGUUUUCGAAGUGGAUGUCGGAAGGAAAGGGGAAUGACGAAGAGAGAAGAGUGGCAUUUGGUUACAACUUAAAAUCGGGUCUGUAUCCAAGCCACUGUCUUCCCUCUUCACUCUA
rnacentral:misc_RNA from 1 species